AAAGAUGUGCUAAUACCGCAUAAUCUCUCAGGAGAAAAGCAGGGGAUCGCAAGACCUUGCGCUUUAGGAGCGGCCGAUGCCUGAUUAGCUUGUUGGUAAGGUAAAAGCUUACCAAGGCUUCGAUCAGUAGCUGGUCUGAGAGGACGACCAGCCACACUGGGACUGAGACACGGCCCAGACUCCUACGGGAGGCAGCAGUGGGGAAUUUUGGACAAUGGGGGAAACCCUGAUCCAGCCAUGCCGCGUGAGUGAAGAAGGCCUUCGGGUUGUAAAGCUCUUUCAACCGGAACGAAACGGUUACGAUUAAUACUCGUAAUUAAUGACGGUACCGGCAGAAGAAGCACCGGCUAACUACGUGCCAGCAGCCGCGGUAAUACGUAGGGUGCGAGCGUUAAUCGGAAUUACUGGGCGUAAAGGGUCCGCAGGUUGUUUUGUAAGUCAGAUGUGAAAGCCCCGGGCUUAACCUGGGAACUGCGUCUGAAACUACAAGGCUAGAGUAUGGCAGAGGGGGGUGGAAUUCCGCGUGUAGCAGUGAAAUGCGUAGAUAUGUGGAGGAACACCGAUGGCGAGGGCGGCCCCUGGGUCAAUACUGACGCUGAGGGACGAAAGCAUGGGGAGCAAACAGGAUUAGAUACCCUGGUAGUCCAUGCCCUAAACGAUGUCAACUAGUUGUCGGGCCUUUACGGGCUUGGUAACGUAGCUAACGCGUGAAGUUGACCGCCUGGGGAGUACGAUCGCAAGAUUAAAACUCAAAUGAAUUGACGGGGACCCGCACAAGCGGUGGAUUAUGUGGAUUAAUUCGAUGCAACGCGAAAAACCUUACCUACCCUUGACAUGUAUCGAAGCCCGCAGAAAAGCGGGGGUGCCCGAAAGGGAACGAUAACACAGGUGCUGCAUGGCUGUCGUCAGCUCGUGUCGUGAGAUGUUGGGUUAAGUCCCACAACGAGCGCAACCCUUGUCAUUAAUUGCCAUCAUUUAGUUGGGCACUUUAAUGAGACUGCCGGUGACAAACCGGAGGAAGGUGGGGAUGACGUCAAGUCCUCAUGGCCCUUA
rnacentral:rRNA from 1 species